AUGCAGAAGGUCUCUCUAAAGUGCCAAAGUUAUAAAAUUCCACUGGAAGUAAAUUCGCAGACUUUCCAAGAAUCAGUCACCCCCUGCAGCACAGGCAGAGACGGAGGGGUUGCGGGGGGGCAACUCUUUCCCUGGGAAGGAGUCCUCAUGUCCUGUGCUGCCCCUUGCAUCCCAACAAGCUGCUUCCUGGCUCUGCGUAGGUCAAGGUCCAGGGACUUCUCUUCAUUGUCAUCCUGGGGAUUCCCUGAAUGAAUUUGUUCCUUCCUUACAAUUACAUGUAAAUAAUGAUCAGCUGGGCAAAGAAUACUAGGCUGAAAAUUGUUUUCCUUCCAUGGUUAACAUUGCCCCCCUGGCUUCCAGCUUCCAGUGCUGCCCUCAAGAAGGCCAUGCAUUCUUAUCCUUAAUCCUUGGAUGGAAUCUAAUUUUUCUCUGGAAGCUUUAAGACUUGCUUUCUCCUUGGCGAUUUAAAAAUGAUGUAUUUGGAAGUUCCCUUCAUGGCUUAGCAGUUAACGAACCCAGCUAGGAUCCAUGAGGAUGUGGGUUCGAUCCCUGGCCUUGCUUGGUGGGUUAAGGAUCUUACAUUGCUGUGGCUAUGGUUGCAGCUGGCAGCUGUAGCUCCAAUUUGACCCCUAGCCUGGGAACUUCCAUAUGCCUUAAAAAGCAAAAAAAAAAAAAAAACCCAAAACAAAAACGUGUUUCACUGUAGUAUAUGGAAUGACUGGCCAACGGAGACCUGCUUUAUAGCACAAGGAACUCUAUCCAAUAUUCUGCGAUAAUCUACAUGGGCAAAGAAUCUGAAAGAGAAUGGAUGUGUGUACAUGUAUAACUGAAUCACCUUGUUGCACAGCAGAAAUUAUCACUACAUUGUAAAUCAACCAUACUUCAAUAAAACUUUAAAGAAUGAAAAAAAUUGACA
rnacentral:lncRNA from 1 species